GCUGCCAUCUUGGAUCAUGUUGCAUCAGAUAUGGAAGGAACACAGCUCUCCAACCUUCAGUGUGAACUGAACCCCUAAAGGAACAUCACUGAAGUUUUCAAAUGUCUGUCUGAUUCAUCAAGAUCAGAAAACGACAUUUUCACACCGCACCUUCAACUUUGUUUAUGAGGGGUGUGCCUCCUGUAGAAAACUGGGACAAAAGAAACUGGACUGACAUUGAGCAUUUGUGGGCCACAAAGAGUCGAAGAAAAACAGACAUUUCAACCUGAAGACCAUGCCUCCGGACUACCUGGCCUGAUGACUCCUUGCUGUCCCCAGUCCACCUGGU